rnacentral:rRNA from 1 species
GAUGAACGCUGGCGGUGUGCCUAAUACAUGCAAGUCGAGCGAACAGACGAGGAGCUUACUCCUCUGACGUUAGCGGCGGACGGGUGAGUAACACGUGGAUAACCUACCUAUAAGACUGGGAUAACUUCGGGAAACCGGAUCUAAUACCGGAUAACAUGUUGAACCGCAUGGUUCAACAGUGAAAGACGGUCUUGCUGUCACUUAUAGAUGGAUCCGCGUCGCAUUAGCUAGUUGGUAAGGUAACGGCUUACCAAGGCAACGAUGCGUAGCCGACCUGAGAGGGUGAUCGGCCACACUGGAACUGAGACACGGUCCAGACUCCUACGGGAGGCAGCAGUAGGGAAUCUUCCGCAAUGGGCGAAAGCCUGACGGAGCAACGCCGCGUGAGUGAAGAAGGUCUUCGGAUCGUAAAACUCUGUUAUUAGGGAAGAACAAAUGUGUAAGUAACUAUGCACGUCUUGACGGUACCUAAUCAGAAAGCCACGGCUAACUACGU